rnacentral:lncRNA from 1 species
GGCAUAUGGAGGUUCCCAGGCUAGGGGUCUAUUCGGACCUGUUGUUGCUGGCCUACACCACAGCCACAGCAACUUGGGAUCUGAGCUGUGUCUGCGACCUACAUCACAGCUCACGGCAACGCCAGAUCCACUGAUCGAGGCCAGGGAUCGAACCCGCAACCUCAUGGUUCCUAGUCUGAUUAGUUUCCACUGCACCAGAAUGGGAACUCCCAGUUUUUCUUUUUAAUGUCUAAAUGCUUUUGACCAUUAGAACUUUUCAACUUUUUUUUUUUUUUUUUUUAACAGUUGCAUAUACAGCACAUUGAAGUUCCUGGGCUAGGGGUCAAAUUGGAGCUUCAGCUGAGGCCUGUGCCACAGCCACAGCAACAUUGGAUCCAAGCCACAUCUGUGACCUAUGCUGAAGCCUGCAGCAAUGCCAGAUCCUUAACCCACUGAGCAGGGUCAGAGAUUGACCCUGCAUGCUUAUGGACACUAUGUUGGGUUCUUAACCCUCUGAGCCACAAUGGGAACUCCUGAACCCUCCAAUUUUAAUGUAGCCAUAUAUGUUCAUUCUGUCCUUUAAGGAUCCUGGGUUUCACGUCACCCCAAGAAUAUAGAAUUCCUAUAUUUAAAAUUUUUAUGGCUUUAUUUAUACUAUCAGAUAUCUAGGAUUUAAUUUUAGGGGGUGUUAAGUGAUGCAGAGUUCAACCUUUUUUUUUUUUUUUUGUCUUUUCAGGGCCGCACCUGCAGCAUAUAUAAGUUCCCAGGCUAGGGGUCGAAUGUGAGCUGUAGCUGCUGGCCUACACCACAGCUACAGCAACGCCAGAUCUGAGCCAUAUCUGUGACCUACACCGAAGCUCAUGGCAACACCGGAUCCUUAACCCACUGAGCGAGGCCAGGGAUUGAACCCUCAUCCUCAAGGAUACUAAUUGGGCUCAUUACCACUGAGCCACAAUGGGAACCCCCAGAGUUCCAACUUUAUCCAAUAAUCAUUUCCUAGUGUGAACUGGAGACUGGCAUUUGCCACCUGCCUCUACAUGAGUUGGAUCAUGAGCCACUGCAGCUGCUGCCCCUUAACACCCCCUGAAAGGCGCUCAGGGUGGAGCUCAGGGCUGAGGCACUCUGUGCUCUAGGAAAACUGGCAGAACAGGUCUCCAGAUAAUUAGAUACUUCCGGGAGAAGAUUUUAUGAGCCCAAUUCUGGCACCUCCUCGUAUCUAGAAAAGCACUAAAAUCCUUCAUGGUGCCCUCUGCUCCUUGUGACUAGUAAUGAGCUUCACAAGACUAACGGCAACAUUCUGUAAAACGUGUGCUUGGUUGCAUGUUCCUCCCCUUCCCCCAAAUCACAUAUAAACUGACAUUCCCCCCACCUUUUUGGGGCUCCCUGAAAUGCUGCUUCCCAGGCUACAGUCCUCAUUGUGCCCCAAAUAAAACUUAACUCUCAACUUUUAGGUUGUGCAUAUUUUUAAAAUUGACAGUAGUGUUUUGAAAUAGUACUUUUAUUAUAUCCCCAUAUAUGUCUGGGUCUCUGGACUCUAAUUUGCUUAUUUAUCUUUUCCUAAUGCAAUGUCCUGCCAUCUAAAUUACUGUGGCUCUAGAGUACAUUCGAUAUAUAGUAGGCAAAUGCCCUCUUCCCCCAUGUUUUACUUAUCCAUCAAAAUUUUAAAAACUGUUGGGAAUGGGAGUUCCCAUCGUGGCUCAGUGGCAACGAACCUGACUAGUAUCCAUGGGGACAUGGGUUCCAUCCCUGGCCUCGAUCAGUGGGUUAAGGAUCUGGUGUUGCCGUGAGCUGCAGUGUAGGUUGCAGACGAGGUUCAGAUCCAGUGAUGCUACAACUCUGACUCAACCCCUAGCCUGGGAACCUCCAUAUGUCAUGGGUGUAGCCAUUAAAAGAAAAACAAAACAAAACAAAACAAAAAACUGUUGGGAUUGAGACUGUCACUGCUUGAAUUUACCAACUUAUUUGGGGAAUAAUCAUGCAAAAUGACUGCUGGGUCUUCCCAUCUAUAUAUAUGGGAUAUUGUUCCAUUUAUUCAGCUCUUCUUUGUUAUACAUUCUUAGUUGGAUAGAUGUUUGUACAGGUUUUGUUGUUUUUGUGAACGGAAUAUUUUGCAUUCUAUUUUGUAAUUUCUUCUGGACUAUUACAGUUAUAUGCAAACUAUUGAUUUUGUUAUGCUGAUAGUCCAGCAAAGGACUUGAGGAAACUCUAAUGAUUUUUCUGCAGGAAAAUUUCUGAUGGUCUGUUUCUUACAGGGUGACUGACAAUUCCAAGGAAAAACCAGUAGACUAUUUUCCCAAGACCUUAAGGUGUAGACACAUUAACAGGGCAGGAGGGAAAUACUGUUAAAAUGUGUAUUCUGAUUCAGCGGGGUGGGGUAAGAGGGGGGAGGCUCAGAGUCUGUUUCUAACAGGCCCCCAGACCACAUUUUAACAGUGAGAGGCUGGAUGCUUGCUUUCCUGUGAUUCAUCAUAAAACAAAUUUUCCUCUUGCAUUUCUUAGAAGAGACAACUGUUGCUCGGGCCCAUGGAACAAGAACAUCUGUAAACCCAGGCGGAGUUCCCAGGAGGGUUUGUGAAAUGCUAGAGCAGGAAGAGGCCUUGGGACCCAGCGGGUUCGGCCACCUUGCUUUACAUCUGAGAAAAUUGAGGCCCAGAGAGGUCAGAGUCAUCCAAAGCACCAAGGCUGGGGUCCCGGAUUUGGUAAGUGCCAUCCCAGGGCCAGUUUAUUCUAAUUGGCCAGGGGACCGACCUUCUAUAAGCCUUAGCGCCUCUGUGCCUCAGUUUCCCCACUUGUAAAAUGGGGAUGAUCAUGUUACCUGUUUAGUGCCCAGGACAGCAGUGAGAGUCAAAUGGACUGAACAAUAGGAGGAAAACAGAAUAGCCUGACUCCCUAAGGGGACCCAGGUGUGUCUGGAUCCAGAGGCCAUGUUGUCGUCCCCCACAGUGAUGGUGGGUGAGGAGGAAGUCUAUAGACCAGGGAGCACAGGUGCAAAUUAGCUGGAUCAGUUGGUAUAAACAAUGGGGACAGUGGGGUGUUGUAGAUGAACAGGACUGGGGACCUGCGGUGAACAGGAGUGGGCAAUGCUGCUCACCUUGGCUAAUGGGGACUGUGUAGGAACUUGGGCCCCAAACUUGUGGAUCUUCUGAGCUUUUAGAAUAACUUUGUGUGUGUGGUCUUCUACUGAUUCAAGUUGUAAGACAACAAGUCAGAG